rnacentral:rRNA from 1 species
CAAUGGAGAGUUUGAUCCUGGCUCAGGAUGAACGCUGGCGGCGUGCUUAACACAUGCAAGUCGAACGAAGUCUUUCGGGACUUAGUGGCGGACGGGUGAGUAACGCGUGAGGAUCUGCCCAAAGGAGUGGGAUAACUAUUGGAAACGAUAGCUAAGACCGCAUAUGCCGAGAGGUGAAACAUUAUAUGGCCUUUGGAUGAACUCGCGUCUGAUUAGUUAGUUGGUGGGGUAAUAGCCUACCAAGACUGUGAUCAGUAGCUGUUCUGAGAGGAUGAUCAGCCACACUGGGACUGAGACACGGCCCAGACUCCUACGGGAGGCAGCAGUGGGGAAUUUUCCGCAAUGGGCGAAAGCCUGACGGAGCAACGCCGCGUGA